AUACGUAGGUGACAAGCGUUAUCCGGAUUUACUGGGCGUAAAGGGCGUGUAGGCGGCCUUGCAAGUCAGAAGUGAAAUUCCUGAGCUCAACUCGGGCGCUGCUUCUGAAACUGCAGGACUUGAGUGCUGGAGGGGAUAGCGGAAUUCCUAGUGGAGCGGUAAAAUGCGCAGAUAUUAGGAAGAACACCGGUGGCGAAGGCGGCGUUCUGGACGAUAACUGACGCUGAGGCGCGAAAGCGUGGGGAGCAAACAGGAUUAAAUACCCUGGUAGUCCACGCUGUAAACGAUGAAUACUGGGUGUAGGGGGUAUCGACUCCCUCUGUGCCGCAGUUAACACAAUAAGUAUUCCGCCUGGGGAGUACGGCCGCAAGGUUGAAACUCAAAGGAAUUGACGGGG
rnacentral:rRNA from 1 species